AGGGCACCACCAGGAGUGGAGCCUGCGGCUUAAUUUGACUCAACACGGGGAAACUCACCCGGCCCGGACACCGGAAGGAUUGACGGAUUGAUAGCUCUUUCUUGAUUCGGUGGAUGGUGGUGCAUGGCCGUUCUUAGUUGGUGGAGCGAUCUGUCUGGUUAAUUCCGAUAACGAACGAGACUCUAGCCUAUUAAAUAGACGUCGGGUUCUCUGCACUCGACGGUCUUCUUAGAGGGACAAGGUGCUUUUAGCACCGCGAAACAGAGCAAUAACAGGUCUGUGAUGCCCUUAGAUGUCCGGGGCCGCACGCGCGCUACACUGAAGGAAGCAGCGUGUAACAACCUUGUUCUAACGAACUGGGUAACCCGUGGAACUUCCUUCAUGAUUGGGAUAGGGGUUUGCAAUUGUGCCCCUUGAACGAGGAAUUCCCAGUAAACACUAGUCAUCAGCUAGUGCUGAUUACGUCCCUGCCCUUUGUACACACCGCCCGUCGCUACUACCGAUUUGAAUGGUUUAGUG
rnacentral:rRNA from 1 species